CCUACGUGAGGCAGCAGUGGGGAAUAUUGCACAAUGGGGGAAACCCUGAUGCAGCGACGCAGCGUGAGUGAAGAAGUAAUUCGUUAUGUAAAGCUCUAUCAGCAGGGAAGAAAAUGACGGUACCUGAGUAAGAAGCCCCGGCUAACUACGUGCCAGCAGCCGCGGUAAUACGUAGGGGGCAAGCGUUAUCCGGAUUUACUGGGUGUAAAGGGAGCGUAGACGGCAGUGCAAGUCUGGAGUGAAAGGCGGGGGCUCAACCCCCGGACUGCUCUGGAAACUGUACGGCUGGAGUGCAGGAGAGGUAAGUGGAAUUCCUAGUGUAGCGGUGAAAUGCGUAGAGAUUAAGAGGAACACCAGUGGCGAAGGCGGCUUACUGGACUGUAACUGACGUUGAGGCUCGAAAGCGUGGGGAGCAAACAGGAUUAGAUACCCCAGUAGUC
rnacentral:rRNA from 1 species